rnacentral:lncRNA from 1 species
GGGCAAGGAAAGCCAGAGGCGCAGAACAUUCUCCAGAGGCUACUGUGGGGGCCAAGACUCCAACUGGCUAUCUGGACACCUGGACUUGAAUCCCAGUUCGGCCACCCAAGGCGAACUUUAGCUUCCUUACCUGCCCUCCUGCUCAGGUAUUUCCUGAGACAGACCCCCAGGUGCCCAGUGCCCCAGCCUUGUCUCUCCUCCGGCUCCCUCUUGGACUGCCCUGAGCACCAUCACUUCACAGUCCAUUCACUGAGCUGAAAAGAUAGAUCCACCUGAUGUCAAGAACUGAGAAGGCCCUCCUGCCACAGUUUCAUGGAUGCUGGCGGAAGAAAUGAGACUCCUGGGUCAGAGACAAAGGAC